rnacentral:rRNA from 1 species
UGGGGAAUAUUGGACAAUGGGCGCAAGCCUGAUCCAGCCAUGCCGCGUGAGUGAUGAAGGCCUUAGGGUUGUAAAGCUCUUUCGCCGACGAAGAUAAUGACGGUAGUCGGAGAAGAAGCCCCGGCUAACUUCGUGCCAGCAGCCGCGGUAAUACGAAGGGGGCUAGCGUUGUUCGGAAUCACUGGGCGUAAAGCGCACGUAGGCGGAUUGUUAAGUCAGGGGUGAAAGCCUGGAGCUCAACUCCAGAACUGCCCUUGAUACUGGCAAUCUCGAGUCCGGAAGAGGUAAGUGGAACUGCGAGUGUAGAGGUGAAAUUCGUAGAUAUUCGCAAGAACACCAGUGGCGAAGGCGGCUUACUGGUCCGGUACUGACGCUGAGGUGCGAAAAGCGUGGGGAGCAAACAGGAUUAGAUACCCUGGUAGUCCACGCCGUAAACGAUGGAGGCUAGCCGUUGGCGAGCAUGCUCGUCAGUGGCGCAGCUAACGCAUUAAGCCUCCCGCCUGGGGAGUACGGUCGCAAGAUUAAAAACUUAAAUGAAUUGACGGGGUCAUAGCUGUUUCCU